AUUGAACGCUGGCGGCAUGCUUUACACAUGCAAGUCGAACGGUAACAGGCCGCAAGGUGCUGACGAGUGGCGAACGGGUGAGUAAUGCAUCGGAACGUGCCCAGCCGUGGGGGAUAACUACUCGAAAGAGUAGCUAAUACCGCAUACGAUCUAUGGAUGAAAGCGGGGGACCGUAAGGCCUCGCGCGAUUGGAGCGGCCGAUGUCAGAUUAGGUAGUUGGUGGGGUAAAGGCUCACCAAGCCAACGAUCUGUAGCUGGUCUGAGAGGACGACCAGCCACACUGGAACUGAGACACGGCCCAGACUCCUACGGGAGGCAGCAGUGGGGAAUUUUGGACAAUGGGCGCAAGCCUGAUCCAGCAAUGCCGCGUGCAGGAAGAAGGCCUUCGGGUUGUAAACUGCUUUUGUACGGAACGAAACGGCUCUGGUUAAUACCCGGGGCUAAUGACGGUACCGGAAGAAUAAGCACCGGCUAACUACGUG
rnacentral:rRNA from 1 species